rnacentral:lncRNA from 1 species
GGGAGCCAUUCUUCUUGCCUCCAAGGUUUGGGACGAUCAGGCUGUAUGGAAUGUGGACUACUGCCAGAUCCUCAAGGACAUUACAGUUGAGGACAUGUGAGAAUGAAAUGGAAAGGCAUUUUCUGGAGCUUCUUCAGUUUAAUAUUAAUGUUCCUGCCAGUGUUUAUGCCAAAUACUACUUUGACCUUCGCUCCUUAGCAGAUGACAACAACCUGAAUUUUCUAUUUGCUCCUCUUAGCAAAGAAAGAGCACAGAACCUAGAGGCUAUUUCUAGAUUGUGUGAAGACAAAGACUUGUGUAGAGCCGCUAUGAGAAGGUCUUUCAGUGCUGAUAACUUCAUUGGUAUUCAGCGCUCUAAAGCCAUCCUCUCUUAAAAGGAGAAAUGAGGGGUUAUAACGUCAUGGGACCUUCAUCUACAAAGACUGGAGAAAUACCACCUUUCCUGCUCAAAAACCAGCAAAAUUAGUGUUUUCAUCAAAAGGAAAGAUCUCAAAUUCAAGAGACUCAUGGACAACAAGGAUUAUACUCCACAGGAAAGAAUGGGACCUUGUCAAUGCAACAAAACACUCUUCUGUCCUUUUUAAUGUAAACAGAGUUACAAAAACCACUCCAAAGUGAAGGCUCCCAUCCUACACACAGAUAUUUGCUUACUGUGUGGGCCGAUAGCUGUGAACUAUGUAAGGUUUUUUAAACAAUAGUUUAAAUUUUUAGACUUUAAAGACACUAACCAUAUAACUUUUAUGUUUCUUCCAGUUUCUCUCCCUCCCCCCGCAUUUUGCUGCAUAUGCCUUUAAAAUCAAUGCAGUAUUACCAUUAAAACAUGGGACUCUAACUAAAGCCACUUAGGAGCAGACAGCAGCGUUGUUAGGUACUGAAGGGUUCUUCCUCCCUACUGUUACCAUUGAAGCUGCUAGUCAUUGGCAAUCAUUUUAAACCAAAAAGCUGCUGGAUAACAUUUGUCAUUCAUAUUCUUUGCAAGCAUUACUUUAGCAUUUUAGCAUGUUUGGGGUCAUAAACAGAGGAAGUAUCAGUUAUUGAUAUCUACUUCUAUUGGAGUCCAUGUUGCAUUUCUUGUGAACUAUAAAUGGUGCUUCUCAUUUUCUGAUAAUUUUUCUCUUGCUAAAUAAAUGUAUUAAAAGAUAUUUU